UACGUAGGGUGCAAGCGUUAAUCGGAAUUACUGGGCGUAAAGCGUGCGCAGGCGGUUGUGCAAGACAGGUGUGAAAUCCCCGGGCUUAACCUGGGAACUGCAUUUGUGACUGCACAGCUGGAGUACGGCAGAGGGGGAUGGAAUUCCGCGUGUAGCAGUGAAAUGCGUAGAUAUGCGGAGGAACACCGAUGGCGAAGGCAGUCCCCUGGGCCUGUACUGACGCUCAUGCACGAAAGCGUGGGGAGCAAACAGG
rnacentral:rRNA from 1 species